UAAAUCAGCAAGUUGAUGAAUAAAGGUUGC
rnacentral:piRNA from 1 species